GCCCCAACUAGUAUGGUGGUUAUGACACUCGAAUUGUAAUUGAGUGGUUUCAGGUUCAAAUCCCGAGUAAGGCA